GAACAGACAAGACAUGGAACUUCUUUAUGAUCAAAGUAUAGAAGUUUAAUCACAGUUUGUGGGAGCACACCCACAGAAUAUAGUGUAUGUUCCGAAUGCUACUGUUGGAGUAAAUACUAUCGUGAAGAACCUGAUCCUUGAGCCUGAAGAUAUUCUGCUACUUAACUCUCAUACCUACUCUGCUUGUACUAAGGCUAUUGAAUGUGCAGUAAGAAAGUCAGGGGCGGAUACUCUCUCUCUUGAUAUCAUUUUUCCAAUCAGGUCUGAGGAUCAACUUGUUGAUCAUAUUGUUGAGAUCUGUAAACGGAAUGUGGGAAUUCGUCUGGCGAUCAUCGAUCAUAUCA